rnacentral:rRNA from 1 species
GUAGUCAUAUGCUUGUCUCAAAGAUUAAGCCAUGCAUGUCUAAGUAUAAGCAACUAUACGGUGAAACUGCGAAUGGCUCAUUAAAUCAGUUAUCGUUUAUUUGAUAGUACCUUACUACAUGGAUAACCGUGGUAAUUCUAGAGCUAAUACAUGCUGAAAAUCCCGACUUCGGAAGGGAUGUGUUUAUUAGAUAAAAAACCAAUGCCCUUCGGGGCUCCUUGGUGAAUCAUAAUAACUUAACGAAUCGCAUGGCCUUGCGCCGGCGAUGGUUCAUUCAAAUUUCUGCCCUAUCAACUUUCGAUGGUAGGAUAGUGGCCUACCAUGGUAUCAACGGGUAACGGGGAAU